AAGAGGAGGAGGAAGAAAGAGUGAGAGCGGGAGAGGAAGGGAGGGGGAGAGAGGGAUGCUCAUGCCUUCGUCUAGAUUCCCAGGAAGGAUGUGGCAUCUCCACAGCAAGAUCAGGAAAUGAAAGCCCCGAGAGGCCCCAGCUGAUGGGGCCACAGGCCUUGGGCAAGGGCUGGCUGAAGGGUCUCCCGGGGUUGUCUUCAUUCCUGCCUCUCUGCAGGCAACAGGAUGCUCUCGUCCAGCAAGCGAAGCCUGGGAUCCAGGAGCCAAGGGAUUGAGCAUGUCACCAGCUCACCAUGUCCUUGUCAGAUCCUCCUGCAUGCCCGGUCCUGGCCAAGGGACUCAGCCCCCCAGUCAUUGUCAAGUCACCGACUGUCCCUGGUCCUUGUAAGGGACUCAGCCCCCCUGGUCGUUAUCAAAUCACCCAAUGCACCCAGUCCUCCACGAGUGACUCAGGCCCCUAGUCGCUGUCAAGUCACUCAAUGUCCCUGUUCCUUCCAAGGGACUCUGCCCCCUCCCCUCACACCCCCCCCUCCCGCGCGUAACCAUCACAUGACCCGGCACAUCUGGUCCUUCCCAAGAAUCCCCUGGAGCCUCACCUUCACCACACCCCACCCUCAGGACUGUUCCUGUGUCUUCAUCCCACCCACCCAGGACCCAACCAACCCAAAGCCACCCCUCAGCGCUGGGGAGAGGCUCCUCCCUUGCUACGUUGCACAGCACACAGGGAGGUUCCUGGGUUUUCUGGGCCAUACUCGCGUUCCCCGCCCCACCUGGACGAGGUUACUUUGGCUUCAGGCCCCCUGAGCCCAGCUGACUUGAGUGGACAGAGCAGGCCAGCAAGGCACAGCGCUGAGGCGGAGCCACGUGGGGGCUGCAGGGCCCGCCCCUCCCCGCGGGGCUGCGCAGGUGCUGGUCAUUCCCCAGGCGGCUGGGCAGCGCGCAUGCGCGGCGUCCUCCCCGCUGGCUGCCCAGCCCAGAGCUGGCGCGUACAGAGUCCCCAGCCAGGGGCCCCCAGGCGGUCUCCCGCGGUGCGGACCUGACUCCGGAUCCUUGCAGGCUUUAAGGAAAGCCACCAGGCCUCCUGGAAGACUUCCAAGAUGGUUCCUUAGGAAGCCACGGGAGAGGAAAGUAAUUAUUGGUGAAAAUGUUUUAAGAGGAUCCCUCACCAGAGCAUUUUCAGGAUGUGUCGUCUUUUUUGCUCUUGCUUUAAAAAACGACAGGUGACAGGAUACGACCCUCAGCAACGCCUCCAGACGCUGCCAGAAACCUGUUGGAGCUCAACCAGGCAUUGGGCCAAGCCGCAGGAGACACACACUGCACAGCGCACAGGGAAAUGCCUGGGUUUUCUGUGCCAUCCACAUGCCCCUCCGGGGGGUCCCGUGCCUUCCGACCACCCCCCACCCGCCACCCCCGAGCCCAGCGGACUUUGGGCGACACAGCAGGCCAGCAAGGCACAGCGCUGAGGCGGAGCCACGUGGGGGCUGCAGGGCCCGCCCCUCCCCGCGCGGCUGCCCAGGUGCUG